rnacentral:lncRNA from 1 species
UUUUUUUUUUUUUUUUUUUUUUUUUUUUGCUAAUUCGAUAGAAAAACCUCAGAAUCAUCUAGGCUCCCACAGCCUGCCCUGCCCUUUGGAAGCCCACCUCAAACAUCAUGGUGAUAGGAAUAUAGUUACCCAAUAUCCUGAUUCGCUCACCUGCUUAACAUAUUAACUCCUUUAUAUUCCAUUCUGGAAGAUGAAUUUCACAUUUCCCCUAGCCAUGUUAAACUUAUGUUGUUGUGAGAACUGCAGAGUUUGGCUCAGCAGAUCUGUAGACAUGGGACUCUUUUCAUAACCAACCAGACAUGGCAACAGGCAAACAGGCACACCAUUCACACUUUCUCUGAGUCUGUGUAUGGAAAAUGACUCACUCGUGUGGCAUGGCAAAGUAAAUUUAAUGUGAGCAGUUUCACGUCAAUGAUAUUUGGAAAAUCCUAUGGGCUGUAAUACCAUUACAAUAUUUAAGCACAUGUUAUCUUACUAUCUUCAAAAAACAAGUUACUUUAAUUGCAUGUGCUAGAGAAAAGCUAUCAUGCUCAUCAAAUGAAUAGGCUUCUAGGGAAUUCUGGGAAAAUAGCCCAUAAACAGGUAGAUGUAACUCUCACGUCGCUCAGCUGUAGCGCCUGCACCCUGGGCAUUCUUGCUUUGGUCUGGACUGCCAGGACCUGCUUUGCACUUUUUCCUGUAGAUUUGUAGUUAAGGGAACACCGAGGGGUCAUUGAGGCAGGAGUGGUGUUCACUCUGAGUUCCAGCUAGUACUUAGCUGGAUUUUGACUAAGGCUGAAACAAAAACCUUCACAGAAGGUAGUUGUUGAAGAGUGAGAACAACUGGGGGUGGAGGAAGACCCCAAAGUUCCUAUUGAAGCCAUACAGUGUUAUAUAAGGUUCCUCCCUAGGGCAUACUGAUGAGCAAAGAGGCCACCCUCCCUAGCACACAUCCUUAGGAUGUAACUUUGAGAGUCCCUUCAUGGUUCUGCACAACCCUUGUCUUAUCACUAUGCCCCAGUGGUCUGCUACUUUAGGAAUAUCUAGGUGUGCACAAACUUAACCUUUUCUAUAUCUAAAGAGUUUUCUACGUGUAUCGGAUUGCUCAGAAUAAAGUAUAUAUUAGACGAGUUUUGGUAAAGAAAUAAAUUCUAUCUGGAUAGUAUGGUUUAAAAAUAUGAAAAUAUGUUAAGAACACAAUGUAUUGCUAUACCCUUACUGUGUAAUUCAGAAAUAAAAAUAGAUUCCAC